AAAAAUAUCUUUCCAAAUAAUUUAGGUAUAACAAGGAUUUUAUGUUCUAUAGUAGGUACUGAUUAUUGCCGGAGGGUUCUUUUAAACUAUUUCAUCGGUAGUCGAAGUAAAGGAGGGAACUCUUUGUUCCAGCUAUGGAAGGGGAAGGACUGUUGUCCUUUAAGGCUCUUCUUCAGUGGGGAGUUGGGGGAGAGUGUGAAGGGAUGGACAGAAGGACAGGAAACUGGAAGCAUUUU